UACGUAGGGGGGCAAGCGUUGUCCGGAUUUAUUGGGCGUAAAGAGCGUGUAGGCGGCUAGAUAGGUCCGUUGUGAAAACUCGAGGCUCAACCUCGAGACGUCGAUGGAAACCAUCUGGCUAGAGUCCGGAAGAGGAGAGUGGAAUUCCUGGUGUAGCGGUGAAAUGCGCAGAUAUCAGGAGGAACACCGGUGGCGAAGGCGGGUCUCUGGGCCGAUAUUGACGCUGAGGAGCGAAAGCGUGGGGAGCGAACAGG
rnacentral:rRNA from 1 species